rnacentral:rRNA from 1 species
GAUGAACGCUAGCGGCAGGCUUAACACAUGCAAGUCGAGGGGUAGAGGCCUUCGGGCCUUGAGACCGGCGCACGGGUGCGUAACGCGUAUGCAAUCUGCCUUCCACAGAGGGAUAGCCCAGAGAAAUUUGGAUUAAUACCUCAUAGCAUCAUGACCCGGCAUCGGGAUAUGAUUAAAGUCACAACGGUGGAAGAUGAGCAUGCGUCCCAUUAGCUAGUUGGUAAGGUAACGGCUUACCAAGGCUACGAUGGGUAGGGGUCCUGAGAGGGAGAUCCCCCACAUGGUACUGAGGACACGGACCAGACUCCUACGGGAGGCAGCAGUGAGGAAUAUUGGUCAAUGGGCGCAAGCCUGAACCAGCCAUGCCGCGUGCAGGAUGACGGUCCUAUGGAUUGUAAAACUGCUUUUGUACGGGAAGAAACCCUCCUACGUGUAGGAGCUUGACGGUACCGUAAGAAUAAGGAUCGGCUAACUCCGUGCCAGCAGCCGCGGUAAUACGGAGGAUCCAAGCGUUAUCCGGAAUCAUUGGGUUUAAAAGGGUCUGUAGGCGGUCUUGUAAGUCAGUGGUGAAAGCCCAUCGCUCAACGGUGGAACGGCCAUUGAUACUGCUGGACUUGAAUUAUUGGGAAGCAACUAGAAUAUGUAGUGUAGCGGUGAAAAUGCUUAGAGAUUACAUGGAAUACCAAUUGCGAAGGCAGGUUGCUACCAAUGGAUUGACGCUGAUGGACGAAAGCGUGGGUAGCGAAC